rnacentral:rRNA from 4 species
UGCAAGUCUCAGUACGAGCUGUAUUAAAGUGAAACCGCAAAAGGCUCAGUAAACCGGUCAUAGUUUACCGGGUAUAUGCCACUUAGGUGGAUAACUGUGGUAAUUCUAGAGCUAAUACAUGCAACCAAGUCCCGACCAGUGAUGGAAAGGACGCUUUUAUUGGAUCAAAACCAUUCGCCCCGGUCCGCCGGGGCGUCUGCUUGAUGACUCUAGAUAACACCACAGAUCGCACGGUCACAGUACCGGCGACGUAUCCGUCAAAUGUCUGACUUAUCAGCUGUCGAUGGUAGACUCUGUGUCUACCAUGGCGCUCACGGGUAACGGGGAAUCAGGGUUCGAUUCCGGAGAGGGAGCCUGAGAAACGGCUACCACAUCCAAGGAAGGCAGCAGGCACGCAAAUUACCCACUCCCGGCACGGGGAGGUAGUGACAAAAAAUAACGAUACGGGACUCAUCCGAGGCCCCGUAAUCGGAAUGAGAACACCCUAAAUCCUUUAACGAGGAUCUAUUGGAGGGCAAGUCUGGUGCCAGCAGCCGCGGUAAUUCCAGCUCCAAUAGCGUAUAUUAAAGUUGUUGCGGUUAAAAAGCUCGUAGUUGGUUCUGCGUGCCACGCUGUCGGUUCACCGCCUGUCGGUGCAACUGGCAUGCCGUGGCAUGUCCUGUCGGUGGCCGACAGGCUUCGCGGCGCGCCCUAUUCGUUCACACGUGUAGGUCGUCGCGCCGAGUUGUCCUCGUAGGCCGGCUCAAUCCUACCGCGGUGCUCUUUACCGAGUGUCGAGGUAGGCCGACACUGUUUACUUUGAACAAAUUAGAGUGCUUAAAGCAGGCUCUGAAAGCAGCCUGAAUAGUGGUGCAUGGAAUAAUGGAACAGGACCUUGGUUCUAUUUUGUUGGUUUUCUGAAUCCAAGGUAAUGAUCAAUAAGGACAGGCGGGGGCAUUCGUAUUGCGACGUUAGAGGUGAAAUUCUUGGAUCGUCGCAAGACGCACUAGAGCGAAAGCAUUUGCCAAGUAUGUCUUAAUUGAUCAAGAACGAAAGUUAGAGGUUCGAAGGCGAUCAGAUACCGCCCUAGUUCUAACCAUAAACGAUGCCAGCCAGCGAUCCGCCGAUGUUCCUCCGAUGACUCGGCGGGGAGCUUUCCCCGGGAAACCAAAGCUUUUGGGUUCCGGGGGAAGUAUGGUUGCAAAGCUGAAACUUAAAGGAAUUGACGGAAGGGCACCACCAGGAGUGGAGCCUGCGGCUUAAUUUGACUCAACACGGGAAACCUCACCAGGCCCGGACAUUGGAAGGAUUGACAGAUCGAUAGCUCUUUCUCGAUUCAGUGGGUAGUGGUGCAUGGCCGUUCUUAGUUGGUGGACUGAUUUGUCUGGUUAAUUCCGAUAACGAACGAGACUCUGACCUAUUAACUAGGCGCUCCCGGUAUAAAUGCCUACCGGCGAGAUU